rnacentral:lncRNA from 1 species
ACCAAAGCAAUCUCUUUACCCCGCAACUGCUUCAACUCUCGAUCCUCGAUCCUCAUAGGUGAUGUUUCCACAGUCAGGUUAUCUCUCACCUGUACAUCAUCUACUUGGACAACAUGCGACGGCGGUAAAGCGAUACGAUAGGCUACCUCCCCUAUCCUCUCCAAAAUCUGAUAAGGACCAAUAAAUCGAGGUGUCAGCUUCUUCGACUUAAAAGCUCGACCAACCCCAGUUAUCGGAGUAACACGAAGAAACACAUGAUCUCCCUCUUGAAACUCAAGUGACUUCCUCCUCAUUGUCGUGAUAACUCUUUUGACGAUUCUGAGCAAUCCUCAUCUUCUCCUGAAUCAUCUUAAUCUUUU